GCAGCUUGCUGCUUYGCUGACGAGUGGCGGACGGGUGAGUAAUGUCUGGGAAACUGCCUGAUGGAGGGGGAUAACUACUGGAAACGGUAGCUAAUACCGCAUAACGUCGCAAGACCAAAGAGGGGGACCUUCGGGCCUCUUGCCAUCGGAUGUGCCCAGAUGGGAUUAGCUAGUAGGUGGGGUAACGGCUCACCUAGGCGACGAUCCCUAGCUGGUCUGAGAGGAUGACCAGCCACACUGGAACUGAGACACGGUCCAGACUCCUACGGGAGGCAGCAGUGGGGAAUAUUGCACAAUGGGCGCAAGCCUGAUGCAGCCAUGCCGCGUGUAUGAAGAAGGCCUUCGGGUUGUAAAGUACUUUCAGCGGGGA
rnacentral:rRNA from 1 species